CAGAAACCCAAUGGAAUGACAUCACUCUACGCAAUCAAUUCCGUCUCGGAUUAUCAGAAGCUGUGAAAGAUGAACUUUCUUGUACUGAACUUCCUCCCACCCUAAAUGCAUUGAUUCAACUUUCCAUUAGUAUUGACAGACGUCUAAGAGAAAGAAGGGCUGAAAAAGUUCACACUUCUUCUAACUGGAGAAAACAUUUUACUUCUCCAAAAAUUCCUGAAAAAUUUCUUCCUCAAAAUGAACCUAUGGAAGUUGGUAUAAUAAGAAGUCCUCUUACUUCUGAAGAAAGAAUAAGAAGGAGACAACUAAACCUGUGUAUGUAUUGUGCUUCAAAAGAACAUCUAAUUCCAGAAUGUCCUCUACUUAAACAUUCAAAAGCUGGUAAGCUUCAUUCAUCUACC